GCUAGUAAUGGCAGGUCAGCAUACUGCCGUGAAUACGUUCCCGGGCCUUGUACACACCGCCCGUCACACCAUGAGAGUUGGGGAUACCCGAAGCCUGUGAGCUAACUAUUUAUAGGAGCAGCAGUCGAAGGUAGAAUCAAUGAUUGGGUGAAGUCGUAACAAGGUAAC
rnacentral:rRNA from 1 species